GAUGAACGCUGGCGGCGUGCCUAAUACAUGCAAGUCGAGCGAACAGAUGAGGAGCUUGCUCCUCUGACGUUAGCGGCGGCCGGGUGAGUAACACGUGGAUAACCUACCUAUAAGACUGGGAUAACUUCGGGAAACCGGAGCUAAUACCGGAUAAUAUAUUUAACCGCAUGGUUCAAUAGUGAAAGACGGUUUUGCUGUCACUUAUAGAUGGAUCCGCGCCGCAUUAGCUAGUUGGUAAGGUAACGGCUUACCAAGGCAACGAUGCGUAGCCGACCUGAGAGGGUGAUCGGCCACACUGGAACUGAGACACGGUCCAGACUCCUACGGGAGGCAGCAGUAGGGAAUCUUCCGCAAUGGGCGAAAGCCUGACGGAGCAACGCCGCGUGAGUGAUGAAGGUCUUCGGAUCGUAAAACUCUGUUAUUAGGGAAGAACAAAUGUGUAAGUAACUAUGCACGUCUUGACGGUACCUAAUCAGAAAGCCACGGCUAACUACGUG
rnacentral:rRNA from 1 species